CGAACGCUGGCGGCGUGCCUAAUACAUGCAAGUAGAACGCUGAAGGAGGAGCUUGCUCUUCUGGAUGAGUUGCGAACGGGUGAGUAACGCGUAGGUAACCUGCCUGGUAGCGGGGGAUAACUAUUGGAAACGAUAGCUAAUACCGCAUAAGAGUAGAUGUUGCAUGACAUUUGCUUAAAAGGUGCAAUUGCAUCACUACCAGAUGGACCUGCGUUGUAUUAGCUAGUUGGUGGGGUAACGGCUCACCAAGGCGACGAUACAUAGCCGACCUGAGAGGGUGAUCGGCCACACUGGGACUGAGACACGGCCCAGACUCCUACGGGAGGCAGCAGUAGGGAAUCUUCGGCAAUGGACGGAAGUCUGACCGAGCAACGCCGCGUGAGUGAAGAAGGUUUUCGGAUCGUAAAGCUCUGUUGUAAGAGAAGAACGAGUGUGAGAGUGGAAAGUUCACACUGUGACGGUAUCUUACCAGAAAGGGACGGCUAACUACGUG
rnacentral:rRNA from 1 species